UGAAUUUCAUGUUUUCUUUGAAAAUCAUGAAGCGUUCUCCUUUUUCUACUUCGUCCUUGUAAACGCGUCCAUGACGUGACAUCCACUGUUCGUGUCUCUCAGACACGGAUAGUUUUGGCUGGCUGCCUGCUGUUGUUUGAGAGUUAAACAUGCUAAUUACAAAGAAUAGUGUAAUUAAAAUACUCAUCAAAUCAAUUUUCAUAGCCAUGGUUAGUGUAGAGGGGAAA